UCUGCAGGUUGUGUGUCAGAAAGGUCUGGGUUCCAAGGGGAGUAUCUCAGCAACAAGGAGCAUUUAUCCUGCAGAGACACACGGAUACACAGACACAGACAGAUAGGCAGGCACACCGUCAGACACAGACUCAGACUCAGACAGACAGAGAGCCAGUUUUGGAGAUUUUGUUGGAGAUUGCUGCUGCUGCUGCUGCUGCUGCUCGUGAUUUUUGCUGCUGUGUGCAUCUUGCCCUGAUUGUACUGAAAUCACACCGGGGUCUGAACACCAGGCGACGGCUGAGGUUCUCUCUGAAAGCCCCUGUUUAAAGCUGACAGCGAUGUGGUGAACCUGCAGCCCGGAGAGAGACAGGGAGAGUGAGUGAGGGCUGUAUCUCCGCGUCCCCCGGCUCAGACACAGGAGCUAAUAGCCUCUGCCUCCAGGUUUCUGGUUCCCCCCAGCCAGAUUUCUGCAGAUACCAGUGAUUUGUUUUAACUGCAACUAAACCAAGUGGGGGCACCGAAAGGUAAAUGGUUGGAUUCUGCUGUGGAUUCCUGAGCAAGUUUGAAGAGAAGGAAUCGAUGGAACUACGUCAACAUCCAAUCAUUGAGUAUGUUUUCAGUUUGCAUGGCCUGUAACACACGUGUUUCUCUGAAAGGUUUGGAAGGAAGCUGGGACAAUACUAACCUUCCCUCCCCCCUGAUGAAGAUGUGACUUAUGGAUCAGCAGCUUGGAAUUUGACUGGAAUCAUUCCCUGUAGCUGUGGGUGGCUGUGGAAAUACCUUCAGCAGCUUCUAAAGCUGGAGUGCAGAGUGGGGUGAUGAUCAGAGAAGAAUGCUGGCUUCUACAGAGACAUGUGCACGGAAUCAGGAUUAAACCCCAGUGGAGCUGAA